rnacentral:rRNA from 1 species
GAUGAACGCUGGCGGCGUGCCUAAUACAUGCAAGUCGAGCGAACAGACGAGGAUCUUGCUCCGCUGACGUUAGCGGCGGGCGGGUGAGUAACACGUGGAUAACCUACCUAUAAGACUGGGAUAACUACGGGAAACCGGAGCUAACACCGGAUAAGAUAUUGAACCGCAUGGUUCAUUAGUGAAAGACGGUUUUGCUGUCCCUAAUAGAUGGUUCCGCGCGGAAUUAGCGAGUUGGUACGGUAACGGCUUACCAGGGCAACGCUGCGUAGCCGACCUGAGGGGGUGUUCGGCCCCCCUGGACCUGAGCACCGGCCCAGCCCCCGCGGGGAGGCAGCGGUAGGGAUUCUUCCGCAAGGGGCGAAAGCCUGCCGGAGCAACGCCGCGGGGGUGAUGAAGGCCUUCGGUUCGUAAAACGCUGUUAUUAGGGAAGAACAAAUGUGUAAGUAACUAUGCACGUCUGGCCGUUACCUAAUCAGAAGGCCCCGGCUAACUCCGG